rnacentral:rRNA from 1 species
GACGAACGCUGGCGGCGUGUUUAACACAUGCAAGUCGAACGGAAAGGCCCUGCUUUUGUGGGGUGCUCGAGUGGCGAACGGGUGAGUAACACGUGAGUAACCUGCCCUUGACUUUGGGAUAACUUCAGGAAACUGGGGCUAAUACCGGAUAGGAGCUCCUGCUGCAUGGUGGGGGUUGGAAAGUUUCGGCGGUUGGGGAUGGACUCGCGGCUUAUCAGCUUGUUGGUGGGGUAGUGGCUUACCAAGGCUUUGACGGGUAGCCGGCCUGAGAGGGUGACCGGCCACAUUGGGACUGAGAUACGGCCCAGACUCCUACGGGAGGCAGCAGUGGGGAAUAUUGCACAAUGGGCGGAAGCCUGAUGCAGCAACGUCGCGUGCGGGAUGACGGCCUUCGGGUUGUAAACCGCUUUCGCCUGUGACGAAGCGUGAGUGACGGUAAUGGGUAAAGAAGCACCGGCUAACUACGUG